rnacentral:snRNA from 1 species
UAAUAUUACUUUCGUUCUGU